rnacentral:lncRNA from 1 species
UGUUGUCUCCUUUGCGUGACUUAUAAUCCGACCUGGUACACAACAUAUGCAACUCCAUUUCUCUGUAGGAAAUAUAUAUGUGCGUGAAAUAUAUGUGUGAAAAACUUCUCAUCUGUUAGCCAUAUGCUGUCUCCUCUGCGCGACUUCUAAUCCGACCUGGUACACAGCAUAUGCAACCUUCUUCUUCUCAACCCCUCUGAAGUAGUUAGCAAUAGAAUUAUGAAUCUCUUCUCUCUCUGAAUGGUUGUCUGCUCACCCGGUGUAAGGAGUACUCUGGAAGUUCUUGAUGGCUGGGGCAUAUCAGGAAGCGGGAAACACGUUCUAGUACACUUAAAAUUGAACACAUACAGAUUGUCUAUAGAUCUCGCUGCUCAAUUUAGGUGGACAACAAUAUCCCUGGUCGUCGUCAGAUGAAUGGUCCUUAAGAUAUAGUAUCUAGGAACUUAGGAUCAGAUAUAAUAUCUA